rnacentral:rRNA from 1 species
GCACAAGCGGUGGAUGAUGUGGAUUAAUCGAUGCAACGCGAAGAACCUUACACCCUUGACAUGUCCGGAACUUGCCAGAGAUGGCUUGGUGCCCGAAAGGGAAUCGGAACACAGGUGCUGCAUGGCUGUCGUCAGCUCGUGUCGUGAGAUGUUGGGUUAAGUCCCGCAACGAGCGCAACCCUUAUCAUUAGUUGCUACGCAAGGGCACUCUAAUGAGACUGCCGGUGACAAACCGGAGGAAGGUGGGGAUGACGUCAAGUCCUCAUGGCCCUUAUGGGUAGGGCUUCACACGUCAUACAAUGGUCGGUACAGAGGGUUGCCAAGCCGCGAGGCGGAGCCAAUCCCACAAAGCCGAUCGUAGUCCGGAUUGUUCUCUGCAACUCGAGGGCAUGAAGUCGGAAUCGCUAGUAAUCGCAGGUCAGCAUACUGCGGUGAAUACGUUCCCGGGUCUU